rnacentral:rRNA from 1 species
GAUGAACGCUGGCGGCGUGCCUAAUACAUGCAAGUCGAGCGAACAGACGAGGAGCUUGCUCCUCUGACGUUAGCGGCGGACGGGUGAGUAACACGUGGAUAACCUACCUAUAAUACUGGGAUAACUUCGGGAAACCGGAGCUAAUACCGGAUAAUAUAUUGAACCGCAUGGUUCAAUAGUGAAAGACGGUUUUGCUGUCACUUAUAGAUGGAUCCGCGCCGCAUUAGCUAGUUGGUAAGGUAACGGCUUACCAAGGCAACGAUGCGUAGCCGACCUGAGAGGGUGAUCGGCCACACUGGAACUGAGACACGGUCCAGACUCCUACGGGAGGCAGCAGUAGGGAAUCUUCCGCAAUGGGCGAAAGCUUGACGGAGCAACGCCGCGUGAGUGAUGAAGGUCUUCGGAUCGUAAAACUCUGUUAUUAGGGAAGAACAAAUGUGUAAGUAACUAUGCACGUCUUGACGGUACCUAAUCAGAAAGCCACGGCUAACUACGUG